rnacentral:rRNA from 1 species
UUCCGCAAUGGACGAAAGUCUGACGGAGCAACGCCGCGUGAGUGAUGAAGGUUUUCGGAUCGUAAAGCUCUGUUGUUAGGGAAGAACAAGUGCGAGAGUAACUGCUCGCACCUUGACGGUACCUAACCAGAAAGCCACGGCUAACUACGUGCCAGCAGCCGCGGUAAUACGUAGGUGGCAAGCGUUGUCCGGAAUUAUUGGGCGUAAAGGGCUCGCAGGCGGUUUCUUAAGUCUGAUGUGAAAGCCCCCGGCUCAACCGGGGAGGGUCAUUGGAAACUGGGAAACUUGAGUGCAGAAGAGGAGAGUGGAAUUCCACGUGUAGCGGUGAAAUGCGUAGAGAUGUGGAGGAACACCAGUGGCGAAGGCGACUCUCUGGUCUGUAACUGACGCUGAGGAGCGAAAGCGUGGGGAGCGAACAGGAUUAGAUACCCUGGUAGUCCACGCCGUAAACGAUGAGUGCUAAGUGUUAGGGGGUUUCCGCCCCUUAGUGCUGCAGCUAACGCAUUAAGCACUCCGCCUGGGGAGUACGGUCGCAAGACUGAAACUCAAAGGAAUUGACGGGGGCCCGCACAAGCGGUGGAGCAUGUGGUUUAAUUCGAAGCAACGCGAAGAACCUUACCAGGUCUUGACAUCCUCUGACAACCCUAGAGAUAGGGCUUUCCCUUCGGGGACAGAGUGACAGGUGGUGCAUGGUUGUCGUCAGCUCGUGUCGUGAGAUGUUGGGUUAAGUCCCGCAACGAGCGCAACCCUUGAUCUUAGUUGCCAGCAUUUAGUUGGGCACUCUAAGGUGACUGCCGGUGACAAACCGGAGGAAGGUGGGGAUGACGUCAAAUCAUCAUGCCCCUUAUGACCUGGGCUACACACGUGCUACAAUGGACAGAACAAAGGGCUGCGAGACCGCAAGGUUUAGCCAAUCCCAUAAAUCUGUUCUCAGUUCGGAUCGCAGUCUGCAACUCGACUGCGUGAAGCUGGAAUCGCUAGUAAUCGCGGAUCAGCAUGCCGCGGUGAAUACGUUCCCGGGCCUUGUA